GACGAACGCUGGCGGCGUGCCUAAUACAUGCAAGUUGAGCGAUGAAGCUUGGUGCUUGCACCAAUUUGAAGAGCAGCGAACGGGUGAGUAACGCGUGGGGAAUCUGCCUUUGAGCGGGGGACAACAUUUGGAAACGAAUGCUAAUACCGCAUAACAACUUUAAACAUAAGUUUUAAGUUUGAAAGAUGCAAUUGCAUCACUCAAAGAUGAUCCCGCGUUGUAUUAGCUAGUUGGUGAGGUAAAGGCUCACCAAGGCGAUGAUACAUAGCCGACCUGAGAGGGUGAUCGGCCACAUUGGGACUGAGACACGGCCCAAACUCCUACGGGAGGCAGCAGUAGGGAAUCUUCGGCAACGGACGAAAGUCUGACCGAGCAACGCCGCGUGAGUGAAGAAGGUUUUCGGAUCGUAAAACUCUGUUGGUAGAGAAGAACGUUGGUGAGAGUGGAAAGCUCAUCAAGUGACGGUAACUACCCAGAAAGGGACGGCUAACUACGU
rnacentral:rRNA from 1 species